AAGUCGUAACAAGGUCUCCGUUGGUGAACCAGCGGAGGGAUCAUUACAGAGUUGCAAAACUCCCAAACCAUCGUGAACGUUACCUAUAUCGUUGCUUCGGCGGGUGGCGGGCUUCGGCCCUGCCCUCGGCCCCUCGGGGGCCCGCCGGAGGUCUACCAAACUCUUGAACUUUAUGGCCUCUCUGAGUCUUCUGUACUGAAUAAGUCAAAACUUUCAACAACGGAUCUCUUGGUUCUG
rnacentral:misc_RNA from 1 species